GACGAACGCUGGCGGCGUGCCUAAUACAUGCAAGUAGAACGCUGAAGGAGGAGCUUGCUUCUCUGGAUGAGUUGCGAACGGGUGAGUAACGCGUAGGUAACCUGCCUGGUAGUGGGGGAUAACUAUUGGAAACGAUAGCUAAUACCGAAUAAUAGCAGUUGUUGCAUGAUAACUGUUUGAAAGGUGCAAUUGCACCGCUACCAGAUGGACCUGCGUUGUAUUAGCUAGUUGGUGGGGUAACGGCUCACCAAGGCGACGAUACAUAGCCGACCUGAGAGGGGGAUCGGCCACGCUGGGACGGAGACACGGCCCAGACUCCUACGGGAGGCAGCAGUAGGGAAGCUUCGGCAAUGGACGGAAGUCUGACCGAGCAACGCCGCGUGAGUGAAGAAGGUUGUCGGAUCGUAAAGCUCUGUUGUAAGAGAAGAACGAGUGUGAGAGUGGAAAGUUCACACUGUGACGGUAGCUUACCAGAAAGGGACGGCUAACUACGUG
rnacentral:rRNA from 1 species